UGUGUGCUCCUUCUUCAGCUCCCUCGCGCACCGCACUGAUACCGGAGCAGGAAGAUGAUGGUAUCAGUGCGGUGCGUGAGGGAGCUGAAGAGGGAGCACACA